AUCGGUUUUGGUUCCCCCGCGAGGGGGCUAAGAGGGAACCAGGUGCGAAUCCUGGACAGUCCCGCUGCUGUGAGUUCCAACAACUUACACAGUUUUUAACCAACGGUCACUGUGGCGCCAGCAGGUGCUGUGGGAAGGCCAAAAACUGGGAACCAAUGGGUCCCCUAGGAGUCUCGGCAACCAAAGUGGAGCCAAGGUCCCCUAGUGUAGGAACAAGUCAGAAGACCUGCCAAAGCUA
rnacentral:ncRNA from 1 species